rnacentral:rRNA from 1 species
GGCUCAGAUUGAACGCUGGCGGCAUGCCUUACACAUGCAAGUCGAACGGUAACAGGGAGCUUGCUCCGCUGACGAGUGGCGAACGGGUGAGUAAUAUAUCGGAACGUGCCCUAGAGUGGGGAUAACUAGUCGAAAGAUUAGCUAAUACCGCAUACGAUCUAAGGAUGAAAGUGGGGGAUCGCAAGACCUCAUGCUCGUGGAGCGGCCGAUAUCUGAUUAGCUAGUUGGUAGGGUAAAAGCCUACCAAGGCAUCGAUCAGUAGCUGGUCUGAGAGGACGACCAGCCACACUGGGACUGAGACACGGCCCAGACUCCUACGGGAGGCAGCAGUGGGGAAUUUUGGACAAUGGGCGCAAGCCUGAUCCAGCAAUGCCGCGUGAGUGAAGAAGGCCUUCGGGUUGUAAAGCUCUUUUGUCAGGGAAGAAACGGGUUGAGCUAAUAUCUUGGCCUAAUGACGGUACCUGAAGAAUAAGCACCGGCUAACUACGUG